rnacentral:rRNA from 1 species
GAUGAACGCUAGCGAUAGGCUUAACACAUGCAAGUCGAGGGGCAGCAUUAUUUUAGCUUGCUAAGAUAGAUGGCGACCGGCGCGCGGGUGCGUAACGCGUAUGCAACCUGCCUGUAAUUAGGGAAUAACCCGGUGAAAGUCGGACUAAUACCCUAUAUUCUUCUUUUUCCGCAUGGAGAAGGACGGAAAGAUUUAUUGAUUACAGAUGGGCAUGCGUCCCAUUAGCUCGUUGGUAAGGUAACGGCUUACCAAGGCAACGAUGGGUAGGGGGACUGAGAGGUUGACCCCCCACACUGGUACUGAGACACGGACCAGACUCCUACGGGAGGCAGCAGUGAGGAAUAUUGGCAAUGGGCGAGAGCCUGAACCAGCCAAGUCGCGUGAAGGACGACGGUUCUAUGGAUUGUAAACUUCUUUUGUAGAGGAAUAAUGGCAGCUACGUGUAGCUGAGAUGCAUGUACUCUACGAAUAAGUAUCGGCUAACUCCGUGCCAGCAGCCGCGGUAAUACGGAGGAUACGAGCGUUAUCCGGAAUUAUUGGGUUUAAAGGGUGCGUAGGUGGCGUAUUAAGUCAGUGGUGAAAAGCUGCAGCUCAACUGUAGUCUUGCCGUUGAAACUGAUAUGCUAGAGAGGAGACGAGGUAUGCGGAAUGUGUGGUGUAGCGGUGAAAUGCAUAGAUAUCACACAGAACGCCGAUUGCGAAGGCAGCGUACCAGGCUCCGUCUGACACUGAAGCACGAAAGCGUGGGGAUCAAACAGGAUUAGAUACCCUGGUAGUCCACGCAGUAAACGAUGAAUACUAGAUUUUUGCGAUAUAGUGUAAGAGUCUAAGCGAAAGCGAUAAGUAUUCCACCUGGGGAGUACGCCGGCAACGGUGAAACUCAAAGGAAUUGACGGGGGCCCGCACAAGCGGAGGAACAUGUGGUUUAAUUCGAUGAUACGCGAGGAACCUUACCCGGGAUUGAAAUUUAGAUGGCGGCAGAUGAGAGUUUGCUUUCUUUCGGGACAUCUAAG